GAGGGAGGAAGGGAGGGAGCGAAGCUUAAAAGCAACUGCAGAAAGUUGAAUGGACAAGGUCGCAGCAAUGGAGAUACCUCGCUCUGAACCAUUUCCCCUCUCCUCAGGCGAAUGCUGAACAAAGUUUUGAAGGAACAAAAAGAAGAAGAGCUACACAUAAUAGAAUCUGAUUCGCAAGGAAAAGAAGAAAGCCAGCUUUUCAACGAAAAAGCUAAAAUCAAUCCCUUCAACCUCCUCAUCAGCGGCGGCACCCACGACCACCAGUGUUCUGAGUGAUCAUCGAGUUGUGAUGGGUUAGUGUUGGAUUUGAUUCAAUUGAGGAAAAUGUGGUGGAGACAAUAAUUCCCAAAUCCUCGAGUUUUAUGAAUGCAUUCCAAUUGAUAGCCAUGUCAAAUGAUCUCGAUUUGUCAGGAUGAGAAAUAGAAGACAACAAGAAUUGGACCCAAGCAUACCAUUACUGAAACCAUGAAGAAAAUAGAAGCGGCUGCAACGGAUGCGAGUAUUCUGUA